GACGAACGCUGGCGGCGUGCCUAAUACAUGCAAGUAGAACGCACAGUUUAUACCGUAGCUUGCUACACCAUAGACUGUGAGUUGCGAACGGGUGAGUAACGCGUAGGUAACCUGCCUGGUAGCGGGGGAUAACUAUUGGAAACGAUAGCUAAUACCGCAUAAUAUUAAUUAUUGCAUGGUAAUUAAUUGAAAGGUGCAAUUGCACCACUACCAGAUGGACCUGCGUUGUAUUAGCUAGUAGGUGAGGUAACGGCUCACCUAGGCGACGAUACAUAGCCGACCUGAGAGGGUGAUCGGCCACACUGGGACUGAGACACGGCCCAGACUCCUACGGGAGGCAGCAGUAGGGAAUCUUCGGCAAUGGACGAAAGUCUGACCGAGCAACGCCGCGUGAGUGAAGAAGGUUUUCGGAUCGUAAAGCUCUGUUGUAAGAGAAGAACGGGUGUGAGAGUGGAAAGUUCACACUGUGACGGUAUCUUACCAGAAAGGGACGGCUAACUACGU
rnacentral:rRNA from 1 species